AAUAACGAGAGCAGCUCCGUGAUUGCCCCUUAAUGAAUUGUGGGGGAAUGUGCUCGGUUUCCCCGGGGUGUGAAAGGAAUUUGAGGUGGGUCGUCAGCAUUGAAAUAUUAAAUUACUUCGGCAGGUUGUGUGAGGUUAGCAGCCAAGGAAGUUACCUCCAUGUAAAUCAGCAGGCACAGAAGAAAAGGGAGAAGAAUGUGUCUGGGAGGACAUUUAGGAAAAGAACCAGAUCUGCGAUAUGGAGGAGAACAGAAAACGUGUGUGAUAUCCGCCAGCUGGAAUCCAUCUGUCUUUUCUCUCUGGAGAUGGAGUUUCAAAGGCUACAUCCUAUCUGCUGUCACACCCUCUCCCAACAUGAGAAGCUAAGUGUAAAGCUUGGCCAAAGUGUUGGAAAAACAGUAUCUCUUUUGUACAUCACAACUAUUUCCCUACCUACACAAAAGUAGCAUUCUUCCUGUUCUGGCAUGCAGGAUGUAUUGUUGCACUGUAUCACAACCUUUUAUUAAAUAAGAGCAGUCUGGCCAAAA